CACAGGUAGAGAAGAGAGAGAACACAGGUAGAGAAGAGAGAGAACACAGGUAGAGAAGAGAGAGAACACAGGUAGAGAAGAGAGAGAACACAGGUAGAGAAGAGAGAGAACACAGGUAGAGAAGAGAGAGAACACAGGUAGAGAAGAGAGAGAACACAGGUAGAGGAGAGAGAGAAAGAACACAGGUAGAGGAGAAGAAGAGAGAGAGCACAGGUAGAGGAGAAGAAGAGAGAGAACACAGGUAGAGGAGAAGAAGAAAGAGAACACAGGUAGAGAAGAAGAAGAGAGAGAACACAGGUAGAGAAGAGAGAGAAAGAACACAGGUAGAGGAGAAGAAGAGAGAGAGCACAGGUAGAGGAGAAGAAGAGAGAGAACACAGGUAGAGGAGAAGAAGAGAGAGAACACAGGUAGAGGAGAAGAAGAAAGAGAACACAGGUAGAGGAGAAGAAAGGAGAGAACACAGGUAGAGAAGAGAGAGAGAGAACACAGGUAGAGAUGGAGGAUGAGCUGAAGAAAGAGAACAGGUAGAGGACUGGAGGACAGAGAACAGGUAGAGGACUGGAGGACAGAGAACAGGUAGAGGAUUGGAGGACAGAGAACAGGUAGAGGAGGACUAGAGGACAGAGAACAGGUAGAGGAUUGGAGGACAGAGAACAGGUAGAGGAUUGGAGGACAGA